GGUGAAUAUUUUACAAGUGAAAAGCCCAGUUAAAACAACCCACGUAAGGCAAUUUUAGUAGGACAGAAGAUAAGCAAGGGGCAUAUAUAACAUAUUACAUAAAUAUGUUAUAUAAGAAAGAAAAACAAAAGAAAAAGUCCCAGAUGGAAAUUUGAUCUCAUAUAUAUAAUAUAUAUAUAUUUAUUGUACGGAUCAUAUGAGAGUAUCCAAAUGGGAAGGAAAGCCUACGCUUCACUUCUUGCCCUUCUGCCCAACAUGCAAACCAGUGAAGUAAGCC
rnacentral:lncRNA from 1 species